UUCCAUCCCUCUUGGGUUCCGUACCUUCGACAGUUAAUCCUUGAAAAGCGGUCCCCUCUGCAGACCCUGCUUAUAUGCAAGAGAAAGAUGAUAGCUGGCUAACCAGGUAUGCUUCCUCUCCAUGAAUGGUAACAAGCUUUCCACUUUUUGCAAAUUUCAACUUUUGGUGCAAAGUAGAGGUCACCGCCCCCGCGUUAUGUAUCCAUGGUCUCCCCAGGAGACAGCUGUAAGAGGC
rnacentral:lncRNA from 1 species